rnacentral:rRNA from 1 species
AGCUCCAAUAGCGUAUAUUAAAGUUGCUGCGGUUAAAAAGCUCGUAGUUGGAUCUCAGUCUCGGCCGGGUGGUCCGUCUUGCGGCGGUACUGCUCGGGCCAGACAGUGUGCCGGCUCGCCUGGCAUGCUCUUAGCUGAGUGUGCCGGGAGACUGGUGAGUUCACUUUGAAAAAAUUAGAGUGCUCAAAGCAGGCGGUGGCCUGAAUAGUCGUGCAUGGAAUGAUGGAAUAGGACCUCGGUUCUAUUUUGUUGGUUUCCGGAACUCGAGGUAAUGAUUAAUAGGGACAGACGGGGGCAUUCGUAUUGCGACGUUAGAGGUGAAAUUCUUAGAUCGUCGCAAGACGGACUACUGCGAAAGCAUUUGCCAAGAAUGUUUUCA